rnacentral:lncRNA from 1 species
GAGAAGCGGCGCGCGGCCAGGAGCCCCCGCUCCGCCACUGCCGUGCCUGCCUCCCGCAGCUGUCUGCCAUGCGCUCGCCGGGGCAGGGGCGCCCGGAGGGCGGCUAGAGCUGGGCCUGAGCCCGGGAACGCGCCUGAUCAGGGGUGGCGGAGCCGCGGUCCCCACAGCCGCCCCACCCGCGCCGCUGCCUCGCUGGGGCCCGGGCCCCCUUCCCGGUCCUUACUCCCCUGCUGGUGCCUCCCUCCUUGGCGCGCUUCCCACCUGCGAUCGGCGCCCUCUUCGCAGUCACGAACUCGCCAGCAGCUAGCAGCACUGACUAGUAGGAGGGCCCGCCGGAGGAGAGCCGCGCGGCCCACAGAAGCGGAACGCGCGUCGAGAGCGCCCUGUCCGCUCGCCCCAGACAGAUGCCCGGUUAUUCAUUACCGCGAGGCCUAGAGGAAAGAGUGGCUGCCGUCUUCCUGCCCACAGCCCGCCGGACCCUCCGUCGCGGCUGCCCGGUCCCCGGAGCCGCAGCCGCCGAGCCCGGCUGUGCGUGUCGUGGCUGCUGGGGAGAAAGAGGCUUCCGGACAUGCUCUGGAGUCAGAAGACAGCGAAAAGAGAAGCAGAAGCCCCGGUGGCAAGAGUCUGAAGCUGGAAAGGAGGAGAACAUGAAACAUUGCUUGAAGACAAUGGCCGAGACAGCAGGUCCCACCCUGCACAGCCACCAGCAUCUCUCCCCUCAGCCCUGUCUCCUCUUCUGCAGUUGGGAUCUGCACAUUUAAGCCUGAAAUUGUCCUGUGAAGUGAAGUAUGAUCGGACAGCCUCUUUUCAGCUUUUAUGACAAUGGAGACAGAGGAAUUGUGGCUCUUGCCAAGGUCACAGGAUUGGAAUACAGAGCCAAGCCACCCCAGGACAUGCAAGAGCCUCAGAAGGGAAAAAAGCCCAGCAGGAAGGGAGAACAAGUAGCCUCUGUCCUGAAGUUGUAACAGCCAGGGGCCAGGAUGGAGGAGGAGGACCCCAUAAUCUGCCCAUCUGGGACUUGGCAGGGGACCUGGGAAAAUGUACCCCAACCCAUCCCUUAAGGGCCUUUGUCUUUGGCCCAUUGGCCUAGCAUCUACUUCUUCACCGUGUCUGUUCUUGUCACACCUAGUCAGGUCUGUUUGGGUCUGAGGUGCAUGGAACAUUCUGGGUAGGCCUCCAGCAAACGGAAGCUCUUCACCGUGUUUCCAGCCUGGGACCAAGGGCAGCAUACUGGCAAAGUUGCCAAAGCAAGGGACUCCAGCCUCUUAGGAGUUAAUGACUCCCUCUCCCCAGCUGUCCUCCCCUUGGUGCUCCUCUUCCUCCCUCCUCCUGCUCACAGCAGGCAGGGCCUAGACCCGGGAGCCAUGCUGCUGUGCUGUUGCCAGGGGAGCACGGAGGCAGAUCUGAGCUAUGCAGGGAAAAGGCCCAGCCUGUCAAAGUGUCUGAGAUGAACCGCCGCCGUCCCUGUGCAGCUGGGCUCAGACGUGUCUCAGCUCUUGUUCUGUGCCUGAGAAUGGCGAAACCCAGUGAGGUUCAAGGGCAAACUCGCUAUUCAUUAGUCAGGGGUUCUUGACGUCCCGUCUCUCCCAGGGAUGAGUUCCCCCCUCCUCUUUCUCCCCCUCCUAUGACACAUUCCUGGGUGCCUUUGGUGAGGACUGCACACCCUCCUCCUGCCUAGCCCCCUCUCCAAAGGCCCCUGAAUAAACUCCCCCCAAGGAGACCAGGCAGGGCAGAGACAAUGGCUGCAGGAAAUCAUUCAGGCGGGACAUGCUGGCCUGCCCUCCACCCAGUCCCCCUGUGGGCCCCACUCCCUUCUGAUUCAGGGCACCCUUGGGCCCCCAGCCUAUACAGGCCUGGACAGGAAGAAACCACUGGGAACCACCCUAAGGACAACAUGCUAGUCCAGUGCCAUUCUUCGCUGGCUCUGUGGGUGCCUUUGUGGCCUGUACCGACUGGCUGGCUAAUUUUGUGGUUUCUGUACCAUCACAUGCCUAUUUUAAGACACUCUCCAGCACUGUCGGUUAGGGAGUGUAAAUUUUGCAAUAUUUUCUGAAAUGUGGCAAUAUCAAAAUGUAAAAGGCACACAUACUUGGUCACAAACAAAUGGCACUAUUUACUCUGUGGGCAUAUUUGUAAAAGUUGCCAAAGAAUUAUAUACAAGGAUGUUCAUCAGAGCAUUUCUUUUGAAGAGUAAAGAAAUGGACAUGAACCUGUGGUCCGUUCAUACGGUGGAAUACCUAUGCAGCUGUAAAAAUCAGUGUGGUAGAUCUCCGUAUAUGAGUUGAUGUGGAAGGUUGGCCAGUUCACAUGAUAAGGUGAAUAGAAUAAGUUACAGAACAGGCUGUAGAGUAUGAUCUUAUUUGUAGAUGUUUAAAACUGAGUCAUAAGUAUGCUUAUAUACAGAUCGUUUCUGGAAGUAUGUACUGGAAGUCUACCUCUGGGGAGUGGGGAUGGGGGAGUGCACUCUUCUAUACUGUUAUAUUUUCUUUUCAUGCUCCUAAGGUACUUUUAUUGGAAGAUGUAAAGCGGUUCAAUGUAAUAGGCUUAACUUCUGUCAACUAAGUUGGCGUGGGUGCUUUAAGAGGGUGGUAGUGAUGUUGCUGGAGAAAGUAUCCCACAGUCACUGGUGGCUUCAGCCACGGGCCAUUUUGGGGCCUAAUAAUCACAUAUCAUCAUGGUUGCUAGUGUUAAUCGAAAACCUACUAAGUGCCAGGCUUACUGUCUCUGGGUCUUGCUUACGUGGAUGUCAUUUUUCCAGUUGCACCAAAUCGAAAGAGGUUAAUUGGUUUGUUGGAGUUCCUUUGUAGGUGAAGGGCAGAGCCAGGAGCUUGGCUAGGGACAGGGGAGGUGAGUGGGGGAUGGUGGAUAGGUCUUGGCUCCCAGUUUCCUUCUGGGCAGACAUUGCCCCUCUGCCCUGAGGACCUGCUUGUUUGGGGGAAGAGGCCUUUAGAGGCACCAGGGUCAUGCCAGGUGUUGGACAUGGUGAACUGGGAAGUGCUCCCAUCUGGCCACAGCGCAGAAGUAUCACCGUGCUGGGGGAUGGGGAACAGGGCUGUGAAUGGGCCUAUUUGCAUAAGCAGCAUGUGUCUGGAGAGAAAGACAUCACAGAGCAGAAGAGUGCGGGUGCCCAGGAGUGCACUUGCCACCCCUACUUCAUCCCUGAAAGAGUAAAUGGCCUGGAAGGUGUCUCUGAGAGGUAAUGCCGCACACCACCCUCCCUGGGGGCAGGGUCAGGCUACACCUGCCUUAGGUCGGGGGCUGCAGCAGCCUGAGAGCUCUCAGUAGGGCCUCAGUAGCCUGGGAGGGAGCAGGGGCAGGGGGCAGGGAAAGAGGCGUAAUGGGGCUGUCCAGAGGGGCCUGGGAAACCUGGUCCCUGAGGCCUGGGCACAGCUACAAUCACUUCAAAUUGGCUGUGGGGCCAGUGGACUGGGAAGGAAAAAAGCAAUAAGAGUGACCAAGUGCAGAAGGCUGUCAGGUCCCAGGUCACAUGCCUUAGUGCAGUGACUCCUCAUCAUUUUAUGGGGUGUGGGUGUCGUUGGUACACCCAUUUUACAGAUGAGGACACCGAGGCCCAGAAAAGUUAAGUUACAUGUCCUAAGUCACACAGCUUGUAAGUGCCAGAACUGAGAUCAAAACCAAGUCUCUUUGACUUUAAAGUCUGUACUCUGACCCCAAAGAGAUCCUGUUUGGCCACUUAUAGGAGGUCCCUAAAGCUGCAGACUCCCCUUGCCGGCACCCACAUAUAGAGACAUUAACCCUUCCCCUGCAGGGUCACCUCAAAUAGUCUUUUAGCUGGGCUUCUCCUGCAAUUCCACCUAAUGCCAUCCCCUGGGUUUUGCCCAAACCUGAACUGGGCAGUGGGGUGAGAGGAGGGGUUUACAGGGUUACAGAGCCUCAUACAGAUAGGAGCCCAUGGCUGCUGGUCAUCUGCAUUCCUGCAGGAUUGGCUGUUCCUUGGGGUCCUUGGCAGGAAAAUGAGGAUUGCUCCGAGGCCUGCUCCAGUACUUCCCAGAGGCUGGCCUGGUGUGGGGCUCUGGGAAGGCUGAGGCUGGAGAAGCGUAAGUAGGAGGGCAGAGAUGGCACUCAGGUAGCUUGAAUCACCAGGACCCUUCCAAGCCCCACAGGUUCUGAGGGAGUACUAGGGCCAGCUCUGGGAGAGGUCUCUUCCUAUGCUGUGAACCCCCUGCCUUUCUUGCAGCCUACAACGAAUAAAUUUUCUUUGCAA